AGGAAUGGGGAUUUAUCCAGGAUUUAUCUGGGAUUCCAUUCCCUGUUUUCCCAGUUGUUCCAAGGCUGGGAAUUGGGGCUUUAUCCCAGAUUCCAUUCCCUGUUUUCCCAGUUGUUCCAAGGGCAGGAAUGGGGAUUUAUCCAGGAUUUAUCCAGGAUUUAUCUGGGAUUCCAUUCCCUGCUUUCCCAGCUGUUCCAAGGCUGGGAAUUGGGAUUUAUCCCAGAUUCCAUCCCCUGCUUUCCCAGCUGUUCCCAGUGCAGGCAAUGAGGAUUCAUCCAGCAUUUCUCCGGGAUUUCUCCAGGAUUCCAUCCCCUGCUUUUUUCCAACCCUGCAAAGGGUGGGAAUCGCAGCCGCCUGGGCUCAAUUCCUGGAAAAACGCCCUGGGAAUGUGGGGGAAAAAUCUGGGAGACGAUCCCAGCCCGUCAGCAGGGACGGCAACGGGGGGGUGCCGAGGGGGGGAUGGACUUGGAUUGGCCGAGCCUCGAGGUCUUUCCCAACGGAAAGAAUUCCAGGAUUCCAGAUGGGGCCGCCUCGGGGAUUAUUGGGGCUGGGCUGGGGGGGCUCGGAAUUCCCAGCUGGAAUUCUUUUCCCAGGAAUUUCGGCCGCAGGUGAGGACGGAGCUCUUGGAGGAGGUUGGGGAUGGGGGAGGGGGGGGAGGUUGAGGGGGUGUUUGGAUGGAUUCCCAACAUUCCCGGAGUGGUUUUUUUUUUUUCCUGGAUCCAGCACAUUCCAGUAG
rnacentral:lncRNA from 1 species